UACGAAGGGGGCUAGCGUUGCUCGGAAUUACUGGGCGUAAAGGGAGCGUAGGCGGAUCGUUAAGUUGGGGGUGAAAGCCCGGGGCUCAACCUCGGAAUUGCCUUCAAUACUGGCGAUCUUGAGUAUGGGAGAGGUGUGUGGAACUCCGAGUGUAGAGGCGAAAUUCGUAGAUAUUCGGAAGAACACCAGUGGCGAAGGCGACACACUGGCCCAUUACUGACGCUGAGGCUCGAAAGCGUGGGGAGCAAACAGG
rnacentral:rRNA from 1 species